AGUUCCAGGACAGCCAGAGCUACACAGAGAAACCCUGUAUUGUAAAACAACAGAUCAAUCAAACAAACAAACAUCCAGUUGAUUCUCCCGACUCCACCAAGGGUAAGAAAUUAUAGAUGCCAUAAAAUACUUCUUUAAGUUUUUUAGAUUUAUUGUCUGUAUGUUUUGCCUGCAUAUAUAUGUAAUAUGUGCAUAUAUUAUAUGUACUAGGUGCCUGCAGAGGUCAAAAGAAGAUGCCAGAUCUCUUAAACUGGAGUUAUGGAUGGUUGUGAGCCACUACAUGGGUCCUAGGAACUGAAUCUAGUCUUCUACAGUAGUAACAAGUGUUGUUAUUGGCUAAGCAUUCUCUUCAGCCCUCAUAAAUUUCUGAUGUUUUGAAGCAUCAGAAUGACCAGACAACAGAUUGCCUGCCCCCAAGUCGGGGUUUCGGAGAACAGCCCCUCACUGGCUUUUGAGGUCCCCUUUAUGGGGAUGGGUUAGGGUUGGUAGAAAACAGCUGUUGAGAUAAUUGGCUGUCAGCACCUGGGCAGGAGAGUGGGGGACUCAAGCCUCAAGGCUGCCUGUGCCAUAGAUAAGUGCAGGAAUAUGUCACAUGGAAGGGGACUCACCACAGGUGGUCAGGAGUUUAUAGUAAGGGUGGGUACACAUCAUGGGGUGACAAAUUCAGCAUAGGUUGAAAACUAUGGCUUGCAGGAUACAGGAGGUUUAGGAAAUUCUCCUAAGGUAUGGAGACUUAAUAUCAAUGUAUGACAAUGUGGUUUCCCUUUUGGUUUCUCAGUAUCUGCCACCAAUCCUGAUGACCUGAGUGUAAUCCCAGACAGAGAAGGCUGGUUAUCUCAUGGAUUCUCUCUGUGUCUGUCUGUCUCUCUCUCUCACACACACAGAGACAUAUACACACAUAUGAAUAAGUGUGAUUAGUUAGCCUAAAUCAGUCAGUCCUUCUCUCCCUCCCCACUUUUCCCCCUCCCUUUUUUCUUUCUUGUUUGGCAGGGUAGAGUCAUCUUGCUCAGUCCCUCUGCCUGUGAUUAGCAUUCUUCUGUGUGACAGGUAAGAGUAGCCUCCCCGUUCUCCUAUCCUAUGUCAGUGGUGAGAUGGUUUUAGAUCCCCUCUGCCCAGGGAUCUCAGCAUGGGUGGGAGCUCAAAGAAGCUCCCACUGACAAGACAAGCUUGAGCAGGGCGACAGGAGAAAAGCACAGAACUGUCAGGGACAGAAUCCUUGAGUUCAGAUUGACAGACAGACAGUUUUUCACCUGAGAUGAUGGGAUGUAUGGCCUUGGUAUGUGAUAGGCGAAGUGACUAUAGCUCUGGGCUCAUUGAUUGGGACAAGCUUCUUAUGUAUGCAGUGGACACGAACAGCACUCUCAAGCUCUCUAGAACAUCUCAAACAUAUACUCGUUUCUCACAUUUCUAGGUAUUUGUUAGCAUCAUACCAAAUGUCUCUCAAAGGCCAUUUGCAAAAUGCUUGGUUGCCAGACAGUGGUGCUAUUGGGUGGUGGUGGAAUCUUUAGGAUAUAGAAAGAGAAAGAGUCACUGGAGACAUUCUCUCAGAGUGGAUAUUGGGACCCUGAUCACUUCUCUCUCUGAUAAUCAUGAGGUGAGCUGUUUUGCAUCACCCAUGUGAUCCUGCAAGGCUAUUCUGCCUCACGACCAAUGAAGACAACCAGCCACAGACGAAAGCUUCUGAGACCAAUGCUUGCUUCCUUUAUUUUCUUGUGUAUUUGAUCACAGUAAUGAACUAACCAGAUAAUAUCAUUUGAAAUAAUUUGUUAGCAUCAGCUAAAUAUUGAGUGUAUCAUCAUCAUCAGUGAACAAAAUGCCUUAUUAUCAUACGAAAAGCAGUCCUUUCUUCCACACUCUGUCCAACGGUUGCUUAUUUCCUCAGGAAUGUUAACUAUUUGUAUCCCGACUGAGGUUAUGUACGUGUGGAGGCCAGAGUAUAACCUCAGGUGUCAUUUAUAAGCACCAGUUCUGAGGACAAAAACCAGGCAAGUACUUUGGGAGGAAGAGGCAAGCAUAUCUGUGAAUCAGAAGCCAGCCUGGUCUGGAAAGUGAGUUCCAGGACAGCUGGGGCUGUUACACAGAUAAACCUGGACUUGACAAAAAAAAAAUCAUUCCAUAAUAAAUAUUCUCUGAUUGUGAGUUCUUAGUGAAUGCUUUUCAUAGUUAUCCUAUUCACAGCUUCUCAAAACACUUUUUCCCCCCCUGUUUUUGUUUUUCUAGACGGGAUUUCUUUGUGUAACCCUGGCUGUUCUGGACUCAUUUUGUACACUAGGCAGGACUGGAACUCACAGAGAUCCUCUUGCCUCUACCUCCCCAGGAAUUAAAGGCAUGUGCAUGACACCUGGCUUCAAAUCACUUUUCCUGCUUGUAAAAGGGAAGGUUCUGAGUUUUCUAAGAGGGAUCCCUAUGAAUUGGCAUAGGAUGAGCUCAGUAAUAAUGUGGAUUCAACAUACAUUCCAGGCAUUUCAGAUGCAUGGGAUCAUUGUAUCCUACUCUGAAAGCUACACCCUAACUAUCCCAUUUUUAGCAGAGGGUGUGGCAAUGGAGUCCUCUAUCUUUUUUUUUUUUUUUUUUUCUUCGAGACAGGGUUUCUCUGUGUAACCCUGGCUGUCCUGGAACUCACUUUGUAGACCAGGCUGGCCUCAAACUCAGAAAUCCACCUGCCUCUGCCUCCCAAGUUCUGGGAUUAAAGGCGUGCGCCACCACUGCCUGGCUUGGAGUCUUCUAUCUUGAUUAAUCAUAGUUUCUUGUUCAUUAAUUUUCUCAUGUUGAACAAGGGAUGUAUUACAAUUGAAGGUCUCCCCUAAUUGUUAUUUUUUUCAUUCAGAAGACUUUUUUGUUGUUGUUCAUUUGUUAUUCAAGACAGGGUUUCUCUGUGUAGCCCUGGAUGUCCUGGUGCAACUCACUCUGUAGACCAGGUUGACCUUGAACUCAGAGAUCCAAAUGUCUUUACCUUCUGAGUGCUGGGAUUAAAGCCAGUGCACCCGCCAAGUCUUUUCUUUAGCAUGAAUUCUCUUAUGCCUUGUCAGUUGAUACUUUUAAUAAAGGCCUUUUCCCAAUGGUUACAGUCAUAGUGUUUCUCGGCAGAGUGCAUUCUUAUGUGUUUAUAAAAGAUGACCAUUUGAGAUGGAAAUUUCUGGUGGUGUCAUGUGAUGUAACGUUUUGCUGAAACAGACUCAUGUGAUGUUUUGCUGAAGUAAGACUGGUGAGAGGACAGGUGAUGUUGGGAGAGUGUAUAAAUAGGACUGAGAAGACAGCGGUGGUAUGCUUGCAUAGCUAGCUGUGUAGUGCUUCAGUGACUGCUCAUCUUCGCUGAUCUUCACUUUGUUGAGAGAGGGAUGGCAGAGAACUUCUCAAAGUAUUCUGGCUGGUCUUGGUCUCUCCUGCUGACAACUGCUGAUUUGGCAGAGGCCUGGCUGUUUCUGCUGGAUCGUGUCACCACUGCUGAUUGGUGUUUACUAUCCUGAUACUACUGAACUGACAAAUGGAGAUAGGAAUCACCCCCAAAGAGCUAAUUCUAAACAGGUCCACAUCCCCUUGCCCUCUUUACUUAUUUACCAUCUUUUUUUUCCUACCUUUGGACAGUGGGGUGGAAGGGGGCUCAAAGCAUUUGAGAACCCUUAUUAAAGUAGGUUUUGAAAAGUCUAAGUGUACAACCAUUACUGAAGGCUUUUCUACAGUCAUAAAUUAAUAGUUUUUUUUUCUUCUCUAGUAUGUGUUCUCUGGUGAUCAAUGUGGUAUGACUAAUGACUGAAGGCUUUAACAUACACGUUAUACUAAUAAGGCUUAUUUCCCACGUAUGGCCUCUGGUGAACAAUGAGAUGAAACUCUGAUGUACAUUGAAAGUCUUCCUGCAGCUGGGCAGUGGUGGCACAUACCUGUAAUUCCAAUACUUGGGAGGAAGAGGCAGGGGAAUAUAUGACUUAGAGGCCUACAGUAAGAGUUCUAGAACAUUCAGGGUUACACAAAGAAACUCUGUCUGGAAAAAAACAAAAUAAAAAAGUCUUCCCACAACACUAUACUAUUGACUAUACUCAUAAUGCUUCACUCCAGUAUGUGUCUGAUGAUGUUCAACAAGCUGAAGUUGAAGCGGAAUUUCCCACAGUUAUAACAUUUAUAUGGUUUCCCUCCAAAGUGGCUUCUUUAGUAGGAAAGAAGGUGAAAACACUUAACAUAGCUUUCCCCCCACACUGAACACAUGCCAAUAGUUUCUCUGCAGUAUGAGUUCUCUCAAGUUCAAUAAGCUGAGAGGUCUCCAUGAAGGCUUUACUACAGUGAGUGGUUUUAUUUCAUUUGUUUGUUUGUUUUUGUUUUUUGAGACGCAGUUUCUUUGUGUAUCCCUGGCUGUCCUGGAACUCACUCUGUAGACCAGGCUGGCCUUGAUAUUACAGAUAUCCAACUGCUCCUGCCUCUCCAGUGCUGGGAUUAAAGACAUGCACCACCACGGCCUAGCCAGUGAGUAUAUUGUUAUGACUGACUUCUUCCUUGCAUGCUUUCACAAAUGUCUACAGAGUUGAAUGCUUCACAUGAAGGACUUUCUAUAAUGGUUAUUCCCACGUUGCUUCUAUUUGUGUGUCAUUUUAUAUGCUGCGAAGUCAGAACUUUGGCUGACUUUUUUCUUAACUUUUACUUUUUAUGAGUAUGGUUGUUUUGCUUGCAUGUAUACCUAGUGCGCUCAGAAGCCAGAUGAAGACGUGUGAUCUCCAGGGUCGGGAGAUCUUACGGUUGUCAGCUGCCAUGUGGAUGCUGGGCUUUGAACCCAGGUCUUCUGUAAAAGCAGACAGUGUUCUUAAUCACUGAGCCAUCUCUCCAGCCCCAAAGGACUUUCUACAGUGAGCAUACUUAUAAGGUUUCUUUGAAGUAUGAACUCUCUGACAUACAAUAAGGAUGGAGUUCCAUUGACGUGUUAUUCAGAGCCAUAACAAUUAUCCUGUUUUUCUCCUAUGUGAGUAGGCCAAUGCCUAGUGAGUUUAGAGAUAUGAGUAAAGGAUUUCCCACAUUGAUUACAUCACUAGAGCAUCUCUUCAGUAUGACUCCUCUGAUGUGCAUACAAUAAGACCAUAGCUCUGGCCAAAAGAUUUCCAGCACCAAAGAAUGCUCACAGGGCUCCUCCUACCUGUUGCUUGUUCUUUAGUGUACAACAAACUUAGAAUGAUGGCUGAAUAAUUUUCCACAUUGAUUACAUCACUGUGGUUUCUUUUCCGUCUGAAUAGCCAUGGGAAAGACAGCAAGGCUCUUGCUCACACCUAGAUAAAACCACCCCAGGGUCACUUCCUUCCUUAUGUAUAAGGUAUGAGCUCUCAGAAUGGGCUUCUCCACAUCUUCCACACUCUCCACACAUUCUCUCAAAGGUCUCAUUUUAUAUUCUUGUAAGACCGUCCUAUGAUUAAUGAGGUUUCCAUAUUCCUCAUAGUCAUUACUAAUUUCCAUUGGAAAAGUUCUGCCAUGAAAAGGAAAGGAAGCUUAAGAGUCACUACUGGGGGUGGAGAGGGCAUGGCUCAAUGGUUAAGAGCCAGGCCUCUCUGUUCCACAGGACCUGGGUUCAAUUCCCAGAACCCAUAUAAUGGCUCACAACAAUCCUAAAAUUUUCUUUUGAUUCACAAUUGUUUUAAUAUCAGUCCCUGGGGAUCCAAAACUCUCUCUCUGACCUCCAUGGGCACUGCACACAUGUGGUGCACAGACAUAAAUACAGGUAAAAUACCCAUACACAUAACAAAAUAAUUUUUUAAAAAGUCAGUACUGGGCAGGGCAUUGGUGGUGCAUGCCUCUAAUCCCAGCACUUUGGAGGCAGACGUAGGUGGAUCUCUGUGGGUUCAAGGCCAACUUGAUCUACAGAGUUAAGUUUCAGAACAGCCAGUGCUACACAGAGAAACCCUGCCUUGAAAAACAAAACAAAAAAUCACUAUUGAUAUAUUUAGUACAUUUAGAAAAAUUAAAAAUUCUCAGCCUUUGAAAGUUUAUUCAAAUGUGAAGGCACUUGGUUCUCACAUACUGGUACUUUUUCACAGGGCUUCAGACCUGUCCAGACUUUGUGAUGGUCACUGAAAACCAAAAUCUGGAGUUUUUAAACUUGUGAGUUGAGCUUAUGAUAAUGUGUUCGUCAGGAUAGAGACAUGGCUCAGUGUUUAAGAGCACUUGCUUUUUCAUAGGACCCAGGUUCAAUCCCCAGCACCCACAAGGCAGCUCACAGAGCAAGUACAGAGCCUGAUGGAAUGGCAAAGGAAGUACCAGGUAGGCUCCUUGAAUCAGACAGCAUUUGCCUCAGAGCCUUUUCCCUUAGGUGUCACUAACAGGAACACAUUCUUUUCUUGCUUUUAAAUUUUAUUUUAUGCAUACAUCUGUUUUGUCUGCAUGUGUGUCUGUGCACAAAAUGGGUGUAUGGUGCCCUUGCAUGUACUGGGAGUUGAGUUACAGUUGUGAGGUAACAUGUGUGGGUGUGGUGAAUCACACUUCUGUACUUGGGAAGAACAGGCAGUGCUCUGUGUUUAUUACCUAGAUCGCAUGUACUACAGGCUCUCUCUGUUUUUCACUAUGCUGUCUAGACUCAUGGCUGUACUUAGUUUCACUUUGUCAGUCAUGCGCAAGGCAGGAGUCACCUAGGCUGAAAGCCCUGUGGUUAAUUCUGUGUUUUUCUCAAUAGUCUUUUGAGGGGUAAGACCCUCUUCUCUUCUUUCUGACUCCAUCGCCACUCAAGAUGUGACCAUUAAUCCUGGAUAUUUUGGGGCAUGUAAUCGUUUCCCUGGAGAAACAGCUACAGUCACACAGUAAGCAGUUGUGGAGAGUGGUAGGUCCUGUUUGCAAGCUAUAUCUGAUCAACAGAGUCUUAAAAUGGGGAUGCUAUGUCUGGUCAACAGACUUAAAAUAGGAAAAUCAUAUCUGAUCAACAGAGACGUAGAAAUAUCGAAGCUAUGUCUGAUAAGUAGAGACUUAAAAAUGGUCCUUGGAAAGGUGGUAUCAGGAAUUGAUAGGUGUAUAUCCAGAAAGGUUGCUUGGUAUAAUGAACAUGUCUCUGCAAUUAAAAAAGUAUUGUGACAGAAAGGUGUUAUUUGAUGGCUGGACUUAUACCCACAAAUGUUUUAUCUGUCUCUGCCCUUACAUAACUGUGCUUGCAAACUGCAUUGGCUACCAGUUGGGUAUAUGUGCUCAUGUCUACAGGACAUGCCUGGCUAGACAUUUAUUUUUAGCUUGUUGAAUUUGUGCUUUGUAGUGCAAAAUAAGAUUAGGGGUUAACUGACCCAGUGGGAGUGGGGAAGGAGGAAGGAAAACUAUUGGGGGAUUUUUGUAAUGGUGAAACUUUUAUAAUGCAGAUGCUAUGAUUUAAUAAAAUAAUCAAUGAUGUCAAUGGGCAGGUGAGCAGGCUUGUGAUUGUAUAAAGCCAUCUUGAGCUAUUCGGGGCCACUUGCUUGAAAGUCAACUGGUGGUCACUGCCUUCACUUUGCACCAUCUUCCUUGCACUUCCCUGUCUCAGGACCUGAACCUUGCAGCUGGAGCUGGUCUUCUGCCUUGUUGAGGUAGGUGUGGCCUUGUUGGAGGAGGUUUGUCAAUGGGGGCAGGGGCAGGCUUUGAGGUUUCGGCCCAGUGUCUCACUCUGUACCUGCUGCCUUUAGAUCAGAAUAUAAAGCUCUAAGCUACUGCUCCAGCAGCAUGCCUGUGUGCUUCCAGAUAUGACGAUCAUGGACUAACUAAUACUGUAAUAUAAGCAAGACCUCAAUUAAAUUAAUUCUUUAAUAAGAGUUUCCUUGGUCAUGGUGUCUCUUAAUAGCAAUAGAACAACAACUACAACACUCUCCCAGACACUUUUAAAUUUUACCUCAGCAUUACAAUACUAACUUUAACUCACCCUGUCCACUACACUUAUUCUGGUGUUUUAGGUAAAGGAAAGCUGAAAAAGUUAUGUGAGGUUAGUAUAAUAAACUGCUAUGUGGGCUGGAGAGAUGGCUCAGUGGUUAAGAGCACUGACUGCUCUUCCAGAAGUCCUGAGUUCAAUUCCCAGCAACCACAUGGUGGCUCACAGUCAUCUAUAAUGGGAUCUGAUGCCCUCUGCAGAUAGCUACAGUGUACUCACAUAAAUAAAAUAAAUCUUAAAAAAAAAAAAAAGAAACUGCUAUGUAAGAAACUAUCUCCUUGCUACAAGUAUUUCAUGGGAUCCAAUUCUAUCCUUGCUUUGAGCUUAAUUGUUCUUGUUUGACCUAAUGUCAAACUCAUCGGAAGGAUUCUACUCUACUUCUCUUUAGAGGAUCCCACAGAGGUGACUUCAAAGGAGUGUAAGUAGCCUCCUUGGUUAAGGGAAACUGUAGCUUGGAGAUGAAAAUGCAGAGAAAGGGAGUUAGGUGUCAGGAGCUUUGCACCAGAUAUUGAGCACCUAAAACAGUGUUUCUUCUAUCUUUCUUGAUGUCAUAUUAUGAUUAAGCUUUGAAUAAUCUUCCUAGAAAA